rnacentral:tRNA from 1 species
GGGCGGUUAGCUCAGUUGGUUAGAGCGCCACGUUGACAUCGUGGAGGUCACUAGUUCGAAUCUAGUACCGCCCACUA